rnacentral:rRNA from 1 species
GGCAGAUCCAAUUUUCUGCCACCGAAUACAUUAGCAUGGGAUAAUGGAAUAGGACCCUGUCCUCCUAUUUUCAGUUGGUUUUGGCAGCGCGAGGACUAGGGUAAUGAUUAAUAGGGAUAGUUGGGGGCAUUAAUAUUUAAUUGUCAGAGGUGAAAUUCUUGGAUUUAUGAAAGAUUAACUUCUGCGAAAGCAUCUGCCAAGGUGGUUUUCAUUAAUCAAGAACGAAAGUUAGGGGAAAGAAGACGAUCAGAUACCGUCGUAGUCCUAACCAGAAACGAUGCCGACCAGCGAGGAGGAGGCUUUGAAAACAAAAA